AACGCAUCUUGCACCCUUUGGUAUUCCGAAGGGUAUGCCUGUUUGAGUGUCUUUAACAACAUCAACGUAACGCCUCUCAGGUGGACGUUGGACCUGAGCGCUGCCGUGAUCGGUUUCACCGGCUCGCUUGAAAAGUGUUAAGCCCGAUCCUCAUCGGUCCUACUCCGUCAGGUUGGUGUCGUAGAACUAACUAUCGCCUCAUGACGGAUGUGACCUUUGGACGGUUGAGCUUUUCGAUGGCCCAUGUCUCAUGGUGCUUCUUGAAUCGGACCUCAAAUCAGGUAGGACUACCCGCUGAACUUAA
rnacentral:misc_RNA from 1 species